rnacentral:rRNA from 1 species
AACGAACGCUGGCGGCAUGCCUAACACAUGCAAGUCGAGCGAGGACUUCGGUCCUAGCGGCGGACGGGUGAGUAACGCGUGGGAACGUGCCCUUUGCUUCGGAAUAGCCCUGGGAAACUGGGAGUAAUACCGGAUGAGCCCUUUGGGGGAAAGAUUUAUCGGCGAAGGAUCGGCCCGCGUUGGAUUAGGUAGUUGGUGGGGUAAUGGCCUACCAAGCCGACGAUCCAUAGCUGGUUUGAGAGGAUGAUCAGCCACACUGGGACUGAGACACGGCCCAGACUCCUACGGGAGGCAGCAGUGGGGAAUCUUAGACAAUGGGGGAAACCCUGAUCUAGCCAUGACGCGUGAGCGAUGAAGGCCUUAGGGUUGUAAAGCUCUUUCAGCUGGGAAGAUAAUGACGGUACCAGCAGAAGAAGCCCCGGCUAACUACGUG